GGAUGCUGUGACUGAGGCUGAGGAGAAGAUUCAGAAGCUUGUGGUGUCCAAUACUCAGCUGGAGGAGAGAGUGAGGGAGCUGGAGGAACUGCUCUGUGAGGCAUGCAGAGAUGACAUGAAAAGCAAGGUCUCCCUGGCUGAAGCUGAGGAGAAACAUCAGAUGGCUGUGGAGACCAUUGCUCAGCUGAAGGUGGAGAAGUCUAGCCUGACAGACCAGGUGGAGACACCGCAAGGAACAGUGCAGUACAUGGGGAACCUGCUCCAUCCUGUUGAGGUGGAGAAGUCUGGCCUGAAAGACCAGGUGGAGACACUACGAGGAACAGUGCAGGACAUGGGGAACCUGCUCCAUGCUGUUGAGGUGGAGAAGUCUGGCCUGAAAGACCAGGUGGAGACACUACGAGGAACAGUACAGGACAUGGGGAACCUGCUACAUGCUGUUGAGGUGGAGAAGUCUAGCCUGAAAGACCAGGUGGAGACACUGCGAGGAACAGUGCAGGACAUGGAGAACAUGUUAUCUGAGACUCACACAGAGCGUGACAAGCUAAUGAAUGAGUGUGAGUGUGAGCGGGAGGAUCACAACAUCCUCAAGUACGAGUACGAGGAGAUGAAGGAGACUCUCAAUAACAAGGAGGAGUUACUGAAGGUAAACUUUCCUUCUCAUGAAACUAUGAUUGCUAUUGUAAGCUCUGUGUGUGUGUGCAGGUGUGUUUGUCAUGACUAGAUGAGUAAGUUUUUAAAAGUAUCUGAAAGUGUGUGUAGAAGUAAAUAAAGCCAAUAAGCCUUAAUUGUACUUUUUUAGGUCUCCCUGUCUGAAGCUGAGGAGAAACACCAGAUGGCUUUGGAGACCAUUGCUGAGCUCAAGGUGAAGAAGUCUGGCCUGAAAGACCAGGUGAAGACACUGCAAGGAAGAAUGGAGCUCACGGGGAACGUGCACAAUGAAACUUACCAGUGCGCUAUUCGUUUAAUGACUGUAAGUGAGAGAAGUCUUGCAUUAAGCAGCUCCUUUAGAAAUACAAGGACUUUUUCAUGUUUCUGCUGCAUGGAGUUUCAUUUAACCAAAAUUAACAUUAUAUUUUCAAGUUGUUAGAUUGUAUUAAUUAACAGAAAUGGCCUAUUGCAGAAGCACUCAAGUUUGAACAUCUUUUGCCCCAUGUUUGUGUAGGAGAUUCAGGUGAAGGACGAUGAGAUGAAGCGUCUGAUAGACGCAGACAAGAUAGUGAAGGUAAACCUUCCUUCUCAUGAAUCUAUGACUGGUAUUGUAUUAUUUUGUGUGUGUGUUUGUAUGUGUGUACUUGUUUCCUCACAUUUUGGGGACAAUUUGUCCUUUUCCCCUAAUACAUUUUAGACCAUUCUCAUGAGUAAUGAGUCUGUUUCUAAAAGUGUCUGAAACUGUGUGUAGAAGUAAAUAAAGCCAAUAAACCUUAAUUGUUG
ensembl:lncRNA